rnacentral:tmRNA from 1 species
GGGGGCGACCUGGAUUCGACGCGGGUUGCGAAACCUGAGGGGCAUGCCGAGGCGCAGAUUACCUCGUAAAUCCAGCUGCACCCAAGAUAGUUGCCAACGACGACAACUACGCUCUGGCUGCUUAAACCAGCCAGCCUCUGACCGGGCAUGUGCUUGUGCGUCCCGGAUUCCAGGGGUCAUCCUUCACAAGAUCGCGUUGAAGCCCGUCCGGGGUGGAUGCGUUAAAACCUUAACCGGACUCGCCAUCUGUCUUCCCUGCCCGUCGGGUAGCAGGUGGUUAAAUCAAAGACCGGGCUAAGCAUGUAGAACCGAUGGCGGAGUACUUGCGGACGCGGGUUCGAUUCCCGCCGCCUCCACCA